UACGUAGGGGGCUAGCGUUGUCCGGAAUCAUUGGGCGUAAAGCGUGCGCAGGCGGUUUUGUAAGCCAGAUGUGAAAUCCCCGGGCUCAACCUGGGAAUGGCAUUUGGGACUGCAAGGCUCGAGUGCGGCAGAGGAGACUGGAAUUCCUGGUAUAGCAGUGAAAUGCGUAGAUAUCAGGAGGAAUACCGAUGGCGAAGGCAGGUCUCUGGGCUGACACUGACGCUCAUGCACGAAAGCGUGGGGAGCAAACAGG
rnacentral:rRNA from 1 species